GACGAACGCUGGCAGCGUGCUUAACACAUGCAAGUCGAACGGAAAGGCCCUGCUUUUGUGGGGUGCUCGAGUGGCGAACGGGUGAGUAACACGUGAGUAACCUGCCCUUGACUUUGGGAUAACUUCAGGAAACUGGGGCUAAUACCGGAUAGGAGCUCCUGCUGCAUGGUGGGGGUUGGAAAGUUUCGGCGGUUGGGGAUGGACUCGCGGCUUAUCAGCUUGUUGGUGGGGUAGUGGCUUACCAAGGCUUUGACGGGUAGCCGGCCUGAGAGGGUGACCGGCCACAUUGGGACUGAGAUACGGCCCAGACUCCUACGGGAGGCAGCAGUGGGGAAUAUUGCACAAUGGGCGGAAGCCUGAUGCAGCAACGCCGCGUGCGGGAUGACGGUCUUCGGGUUGUAAACCGCUUUCGCCUGUGACGAAGCGUGAGUGACGGUAAUGGGUAAAGAAGCACCGGCUAACUACGUGC
rnacentral:rRNA from 1 species